AGUGAACGCUGGCGGUAGGCCUAACACAUGCAAGUCGAACGGCAGCACAAUAAGAGCUUGCUCUUACGGGUGGCGGGUGGCGGACGGGUGAGGAAUACAUCGGAAUCUACUUUUUCGUGGGGGAUAACGUAGGGAAACUUACGCUAAUACCGCAUACGACCUACGGGUGAAAGCAGGGGAUCUUCGGACCUUGCGCGAUUGAAUGAGCCGAUGUCGGAUUAGCUAGUUGGCGGGGUAAAGGCCCACCAAGGCGACGAUCCGUAGCUGGUCUGAGAGGAUGAUCAGCCACACUGGAACUGAGACACGGUCCAGACUCCUACGGGAGGCAGCAGUGGGGAAUAUUGGACAAUGGGCGCAAGCCUGAUCCAGCCAUACCGCGUGGGUGAAGAAGGCCUUCGGGUUGUAAAGCCCUUUUGUUGGGAAAGAAAAGCAGCAGGUUAAUACCCCGCUGUUCUGACGGUACCCAAAGAAUAAGCACCGGCUAACUUCGUG
rnacentral:rRNA from 1 species